CACAGCUGCAAAUGAGAUCGCUGCCAGGGCUCUUCGACCAGGGCAGCUUCUCAGCUCCCACUCUGCUCUGACCUCAGCACAGAAAGGAUUUGAAGCACUUGAAGAUACCCUUGGAUUCAGGAUCUACACAGAACCUCAGCAAAAUGGGAGUUCCUAGGAGCAAAUUCCUUCCUAAAGUUUGCACAGCAACCUGGGGCAGUCCCUGACUGAUUUGCAAACCUGGAGACAGAGCCCUGUUCUGCAUCCUGCCCUGAAGACUUCACCCAAUGAACCAACAGCCACACACUCAAAGCACGGUUUAUACUGCUUUUAGCCCAAUUUCUACUUAAAAUAUCGCAUACAUGAUGCAGAAGGAGUCCUUGCAGCAUGUGCCAGCACAGCUACAGCCCUUCAGAGCAGCACAGAGCAAUCCCUCUGUUCGUGGAGUUCAG
rnacentral:lncRNA from 1 species